ACGUUUUUAUAAAAUAUUGAUAUUUUUGAUUUAUGUACGUUGUUGCGCUUACUUGAACCGGUGUAUGUUUUUUUGUGUGUAGUCUGUUGAGUUGACGGCGGUCACCAUGAGCACGAAAAGUGAGGACGAAAUCGAAUAGAAAAUUAUGUCGGAUAACCAUUCGCGAAGUGGACUGAUCAAUCGGUUUUUCAUGUCUAUUACCAAAACUAACUGGACGAUUGCGCCGAACGCUAAUAGACAUCUGAUCGCCGUAACAUGGCGACCAUAAUGUAGUAACUAGGUAACCCACAAUUAUAGUUACUCACCAGUCACCACUUCACCAGCUAUGUCAGCUGUCAGAAUAACGUUUAUUAUUUUUACCCGCACUUACUCAAUGAGGUAAAACCGAUGUACAGUGUACAAAUUUCUCAUAGUUUUCGAUGGGAUAAAGAAAAGAUAAUAGUGGUGUACUGGUGUAAGAUGAGUACUGAAUAAUAUGGUUAAUAAAAAGUUUAUAAGUAUUUUUUUCCAAAGUAGGUAAGUAGUACCUUUAUGAAUCUAUAUAUUUUAAUAAAGAAAAAUUCAGGAUUCCGUACUGGGAUCAUUCAAACUUCA